rnacentral:lncRNA from 1 species
GUCCAGGUGGAGCUCCAGUCCCAGUCCCUUGUCUCCCCAGGCAGGAAGGAUCACUCCGUGAACAAGAUGUGUGCGUCCUCCUGUGACUUCGUCAAGCGGCACUUUUUCUCAGACUAUCUGAUGGGGUUCAUUAACUCUGGGAUCUUGAGAGUCGACGUGGAGUGCUGUGGGAAGGACUUGUGCAACCAGGCAGCCGCUGUGGGGUGCAGCCCCUGGGCCCUGGCUGGGGGGCUCCUGCUCAGCCUGGGGCCUGCCCUCCUCUGGGCUGGGCCCUGAGGUCCCUCCUUCCCGCAGGGUUCUGAGCUUGUUCCCCUGAGUCCGGCUGGCACUGCCUCACCCCAGGCUGGUCUGACCCAGGCGGGGACACCACUGGCCAGUACUGUGGUCUGUGGCUCUCACCUUCCCUAUGUGAGACCUCCUGCCUUUUCACCAGUUCAAUGUCCCAGGCAGCUGGAUUUCUCCAGGACACCUGGUGUCUGGGCAGGAGGCUGGGGACUGGGGUUGAGGGCAGGAGCUGGGACCCCAAGGUCCCCUAGGGGAAGUGAGGCCAAGCCAGGCACAGCCCAGAAGCCUGGCCUGAAGGGCAUCGUCUACAGAGAAAUAAAGUCACUUCUGAGUCCUGAGGCUCGGGUCUGAGCCUGGGUGUGAUGGGCGGGCAGGUCCUGGCGGAGAACAUGGAGGGGCU